UACAGAGGGGCAAGCGUUAUUCGGAAUUAUUGGGCGUAAAGGCGCGUAGGCGGCCUUUCAAGUGACGGGUGAAAUCCCUCGGCUUAACCGAGGAACUGCCUGUCAGACUGGGAGGCUUGGAGACCGGGAGAGGUGAGUGGAAUUCCCAGUGUAGCGGUGAAUGCGUAGAUAUUGGGAGGAACACCAGUGGCGAAGGCGGCUCGCUGGACCCGAUCUGACGCUGAGGCGCGAAAGCCAGGGAG
rnacentral:rRNA from 1 species